GAUGAACGCUGGCGGCGUGCCUAAUACAUGCAAGUCGAGCGAACGGACGAGCUGCUUGCUUCCCUGAUGUUAGCGGCGGACGGGUGAUUAACACGUGGAUACCCUACCUAUAAGACUGGGAUAACUUCGGGAAACCGUAGCUAAUACCGGAUAAUAUUUUGAAACGCAUGGUUCAUAAGUGCAAGCCGUUCUUGCUGUCACUUAUACAUGGAUCCACGCUGCAUUAGCUAGUUGGUAAGGUAACGGCUUACCAAGGCAACGAUGUGUAGCCGGCCUGAGAGGGUGAGCAGCCACACUGGAACUGAGACACGGUCCAGACUCCUACGGGAGGCAGCAGUGGGGAAUCUUGCGCAAUGGGCGAAAGCCUGACGCAGCAACGCCGCGUGAGUGAUGAAGGUCUUCGGGUCGUAAAGCACUGUUAUUAGGAAAGAAAAUAUGUGUGAGUAAAUGAGCGCAUCAUGACGGUACCUGAUCAAAAAGCCCCGGCUAACUACGUG
rnacentral:rRNA from 1 species